GAUGAACGCUGGCGGCGUGCUUAACACAUGCAAGUCGAACGGAGAAGCAGAGCUUGCUCUGUGGAUCAGUGGCGAACGGGUGAGUAACACGUGAGCAACCUGCCCCUGACUCUGGGAUAAGCGCUGGCAACGGCGUCUAAUACUGGAUAUGAGCUGCGACCGCAUGGUCAGCAGUUGGAAAGAUUUUUCGGUCUGGGAUGGGCUCACGGCCUAUCAGCUUGUUGGUGAGGUAAUGGCUCACCAAGGCGUCGAUGGGUAGCCGGCCUGAGAGGGUGACCGGCCACCCUGGGACUGCGAGACGGUGCAGACGCCUACGCGAGGAAGUAGGAGGGAAUCUGCCGCAAUGGGCGCGAGCGUGGCGGAGCAACGUUGCGUGAGGUAUGAAGGUCUUGGGAUCGUAAACCUCUGUUAUUAGGGACGAACAAAUGUGUAAGUAACUAUGCACGUCUUGACGGUACCUAAUCAGAAAGCUAGGGCUAACUACGUG
rnacentral:rRNA from 1 species